rnacentral:rRNA from 1 species
GACAGAGGUCCCGAGCGUUAGGCGGAAUCACUGGGCUUAAAGCGUGUGUAGGCGGAUCGUUAAGUGCCUUGUGAAAUCCCAUGGCUUAACCAUGGAACUGCUUGGCAUACUGGCGGUCUUGAGCCACUUAGGGGCAACCGGAACAAAUGGUGGAGCGGUGAAAUGCGUAGAUAUCGUUUGGAACGCCAAUGGUGAAAACAGGUUGCUGGGAGUGUGCUGACGCUGAGACACGAAAGCCAGGGGAGCAAACGGG